rnacentral:lncRNA from 1 species
GUGUACCUGGGCCGAACCAUUCACCGGAGCGCGCAGCGGGUGGAGUGUGGCUCGGAGGACCGCGGCGGGUCAAGCACCUUUCUCCCCCAUAUCUGAAAGCAUGCCCUUUGUCCACGUCGUUUACGCUCAUUAAAACUUCCAGAAUGCAACAGGACGGACUUGGAGUAGGGACAAGGAACGGAAGUGGGAAGGGGAGGAGCGUGCACCCCUCCUGGCCUUGGUGCGCGCCGCGCCCCCUAAGCUCCUGCCAGGGCCAUCCAGGUGACCGUGUCCAACCCCUACCACGUGGUGAUCCUC